AUUUGAGUUAUUUCCAAUUAUCUUAGUUGUUAAGGAACGUCUCACAUCUUGCGUUGCAACUCUUGGUUCACAUCGUGUGGUCCUUACUUAAUUUAUCGGUCAUCGGUGUGAAGUGUUUAUAAACUGUGAGUGCAAUAGACAAUCAGUGGUGUGACAGAACGUUUGCUAUAUAAGACAAUAAUUUGACAUUUAACCUCUCUUUCCCAUAUUUCUUCUCGUCGUGCGAAGUGUUUGCUAAACAAUCAACAAAGCAACACAACGAAACAUUAGUAAUAUUUCAAACUAGUCGGUUGAACGCUGCGUUUUACUUUAAUUAUUAAUUUAUUAAAAUAAUUCUUAAGUAAUUACGAAUCUUCCUAGUGCUUAGAUGUAGGUUUAACGUUAACAGCUUGUCAGGCUUGAUACUUAACUCGAUUUUUUGUCUAUUCCCGUUAAGAAAAUAGUGACUCAUCGCUCUCACAUAACGUAAUCACGCCAUUUAAAUCAUAGUAAAAGGUGCCCUCACUAUUUU
rnacentral:misc_RNA from 1 species